GACGGAGGGGGCUAGCGCUGUUCGGAAUGACUGGGCGUAAAGAGCGCGUAGGCGGUUUAUUAAGUGAGGCGUGAAAGCCCUGGGCUUAACCUAGGAGGUGCGCUUCAUACUGGUAAGCUAGAGUACGAGAGAGGAAAGCGGAAUUCCUAGUGUAGAGGUGAAAUUCGUAGAUAUUAGGAAGAACACCAGUGGCGAAGGCGGCUUUCUGGCUCGUAACUGACGCUGAGGCGCGAAAGCGUGGGGAGCAAACAGG
rnacentral:rRNA from 1 species